CGCGUAGACGGUUUUUUAAGUCUGGAGUGAAAGUCCUGCUUUCAAGGUGGGAAUUGCUUUGGAGACUGGAAGGCUUGAGUGCGGAAGAGGUAAGUGGAAUUCCCAGUGUAGCGGUGAAAUGCGUAGAGAUUGGGAAGAACACCAGUGGCGAAGGCGACUUACUGGGCCGUAACUGACGUUGAUGCGCGAAAGCGUGGGGAGCGAACAG
rnacentral:rRNA from 1 species